rnacentral:ncRNA from 1 species
CUUAUCGAGAGUGGUGGAGGGAACGGCCCGAUGAAGCCCGGCAACCUGCUUUGCUGCAAGGUGCCAAAUCCGGCGAGGAAAUCGAAAGAUGAGG